AUUGAACGCUGGCGGCAUGCUUUACACAUGCAAGUCGAACGGCAGCGCGGGCUUCGGCCUGGCGGCGAGCGGCGAACGGGUGAGUAAUACAUCGGAACGUGCCCAGUAGUGGGGGAUAGCUCGGCGAAAGCCGGAUUAAUACCGCAUACGACCUGAGGGUGAAAGCGGGGGAUCUUCGGACCUCGCGCUAUCGGAGCGGCCGAGGGCGGAUUAGCUAGUUGGUGGGGUAAAGGCCUACCAAGGCGACGAUCCGUAACUGGUCUGAGAGGAAGACCAGUCAAACUGGAACGGAGACACGGUGCAGACACCUAAGGGAGGCAGGAGGGGGGAAUAUUGGACAAGGGGCGAAAGCGUGAUAAAGCCAGGGCGCGGGUGUGAAGAAGGACUUAGGAUUGUAAAGCACUUUAAGUGGGGAGGAAGGGCAGUAAGUUAAUACCUUGCGGUGUGGACGUUACCAACAGAAGAAGCACCGGCUAACUUCGUG
rnacentral:rRNA from 1 species